CGAAAGGGCUUCUGUCGUGAGUGCACAAGUGUGUAGGGCAGCUUGACUGCUCUGUGAGCAGAGUCGAAUCAAGAGAUUUCAGAAGCGUCAUUUUUUGGUUUCUGGGCAGCUGGUGAUUGUUGGUCCAGGCUCCCGC